AGCCGGUGGUUCAGGUGGCCGGUCGGGCUGGAAGGGCGGGGAUGAGGGAUGGGACGCAUCCCGGGGGAUGCUCCUCCAAAGCUUUUAUCGGGCGAGCGCAGUGGCUCACGCCUGUAAUUCCUGCACUUUGGGAGGCUAAGGGUCUCACUCUAUUGUCUAGGCUCGAAUGCAGUGACGUGAUCAUGGAUCACUGCAGUCCUCAACUUACUGGGCUCAGGAUGAAAGGCUUCCUAGCACAAACACCACCCCUGGAGUUCCCGGUACAUCAAUACCAGCCUGGGGAUCACGUUCUCAUCAAGAGUUGGAAGAGGGAAAGCUUGAGCCAGCUUAGGAGGACCUUAUCUGGUACUCUUGAUGAACGAAACAGCAAUCUGAAUGGCUGAAAAAGGAUGGACCCAGCAUUCCAGGGAGAAAACUUGGCAUUCUUUGGGAAUCUAACAGGAUGCAGUGAACCCAAGCCUUUUCAAGAGCUCACCAAUCAGACUGCCCUUGUCUAUCCAUGAGCAGAUGUUUGAUAGUAUUGCGGAGGACCUCUAGUGGGUAUGCUGCCAAGCAACUGGAGUGGCACUUGGGCUCUAAUCCAGUUGUCUAUCCCUUUCACCCUGGCAUUUCAUCAGCCAAACAAAAACCAACUAACUCAGAAAAAAAGGAAAUCCCCUCAAGGGUCCUUUGACCCCGAUAUCUACAUAGAUGCUAUCGGGGUCCCCUGAGGGGUACCAAACGAAUUCAAAGCUCGAAAUCAAAUAGCUGCUGGAUUCAAGUCUGUCCUUUUCUUGUGGUCUACUAUAAAUAAAAAUGUAGACUGGAUAAAUUACAUAUACUAUAAUACAACAACGAUUUGUCAGUUACACCAGGGAUGCCAUUAAAGGAAUAGCUGAACAAUUGGGUUUCACCAGCCAAAUGGCCUGGGAAAAUAGAAUAGCUCUUCACAUGAUAUUAGUGGAGAAAGGUGAAGUCCAAUGUUGUACCUGUAUCCCCAAUAAUACAGCCCCUGAUGUAACUAUCACUAAGGGUCUAUAAGGCCUCACCACUCUAGGAAAUGAACUAGCUGAAAAUUUGGGAAUAAAUGAUCCCUUUACAGGUGUAAUGGAAAAAAUGGUUUGGUAGAUGGAAAGGACUAAUGGCCUCUAUUCUCACUUCCCUUGUGAUCAUAAUAGGGGUGCUUAUUCUCUUAGGAUGCUGUGUUAUACCCUGUGUCUGUGGACUAGUUCAAAAGCUCAUAGAAACAGCCCUUACACCAAGGCCUCCCACAACUCUCCCCCACCCUAUUCAGAUAAACGUUUAUUUCUAAACAACCAAGAAGAGCAGCGAAGCCAGAUCCUGUUAGAAGUAUAUGAAGAGGAAGGACUACAAAAUCAAAAGGGGAAAAUUAUUAGACAAAAUGAGUUGCUCUACAAAGGUCCAACUUCCUUGUCCUUUGUUCUGUAACCUUUGUUCUGUAAACUGCCCUUCCCGCAGAAACUGUCUUUCCCGCCGACCAAAACUGCCCUUCACUACCACUGUAAUCCAUACCCCUACUCUAUUUGAAACCGCCAGUCGGGAUCAGCUUACAUUGUGUGGUUCAACCACCAGCCAAUGAGGAAAAAACACAGAAGCAGAAGCUGUGAUGCAUUAGGGUUAAAAACCCCUUCCUUUCCCUGUCCAAUGUGCUCCUGAGACUGCUACAGGUGCAAGCAGCCACCUUCUGCAGAAGUAAAC
rnacentral:lncRNA from 1 species